UCUCUCUCUCUCAAUGAUAAAAAAAAAAAAAAUGACAAUCUAUUAAGUUUGGAAGCUUUGUGGGCAUCUAAUUAUCAGUAGAAUGGAGGGUUUUGUUAACCCUAAAGGUCACUUUUGCAUUGGAGAUUACCACGAUUUCAAAUUGGAUCCAUCAAAAUGGUCUCCACCAUGUUCUUUUUCUGAACUAUGUACUUGUGUUUCACUAAAAUGUUGGUUGAUAUGGCCCAAUUGCUACAUCACUGUGGACAGUUGAGAAAGUUGGUUAGUCCUACCCAUAACUCUUUGGGACAAGAGGUAGGUUUUCUCCUUCGUAUAUUUUUACUGCCAUUACUGAUGACUUCUUACAUCACACAACAUCAUCUAAACUUGAAGCAGUUAUUAAGUCAAAUGUUACAAAAUUAAACUAUAGCUUUACUAGAAAGUAUGGAGCCUUUCUCUAUGUCUACACACACAAACAAUAAACCCUAAAAAAAACAAGAAAAUCUUAUUCUAUCAUGAAUUCCAUUAGAGCAUAUUACUAAUAUUUCAUAGUUACUCCUCCCUUUUCAUUAUAUUUAAUUCAAUGUUGAUGAUUCUUCCAUUGGAUCUCCAGACCCAUGUUAGAGGCAUUUUUCAUGGAAGGUUCGUAUUUGAUUGGCCAUAGUUAUUGGGCUUUAGACUUUAUUUCUUUUGUUUUCAUGAUGACUUAAGAGUCCAUGGCCUAGGGCGAUAAGGCUUCUCAGAUUUUUGUCUGAACUUGAGUGAGCCCAAUUUUCUUAGGUCAAUUAAGAUUAACCUAACUUUUAUCUCUAUUCAUUUUAUGCUUUUCUUUUUAAUGGAAGGUUCAUCACUGGUGUUGCAGAGCAUGUGGGGGAUUACUAUUGCAGAUGUUACAGAGGCUUUUGCCAUUUGGAACUUGUUAUUGCAGCCUACAGGGGCAUUGGCAACAUUAUUGUGGAGAUCAAAUCUCUUAGAGAGAAUUCCUUAAUCGGCAAAUUGGGAUCCAAAAGCUUGGGCGUGAGAGAAAUGGAGAAACUGUGGGAGGAUUGGAUGGGGCCAGGUGGGGGGCUUAUGCAGCCACUUUCUUCCACUUCAUUGCUGUUGCAAAGAAUAUCAUCUCAAGCUUCAACAAAUAGCAAUAUCUUGCCCCGCUACAAAUUUGUCUGAUCAAUCUUGUUUCAUUGUUUCUAUUUCAUGCUUAUGGAACCUAUGACUCAGUUGCACUUAUGAAAUUAUAUAUACUUUUUUUAA